rnacentral:miRNA from 1 species
AUGCCCACGGUCACCUCCAUAGUACCUGCAGCGUGCUUGAGUUUCUCUAUGGUACAGUUACUGUGCACAGCUCUGCGGCUAUGCUUGUGGCUGUGUUUGUGC